AUCAAUUCUAUAAGAUCAAAACUUAGGUUCAAAACAAUACAAUGGAAAAUUACAAAGGCAUUAGAAUACAUUCACCCUAAUAAACAGAUAAACAGUAUCGAUGCUUCCUCAUCUUUUUCUUAAGACUAAAGCUUAUCAACACUAUGAUAAUGGUAGGACCGUCCAAUGGUGGAGUCAUAUGAAAUGACUUUCUUGAAUCCAAGGCCCGCUCAUCAUCUUUAUAUCUUGUAGUUUUCAUUAACACAUCAACAUUGAGGUAACCUUCUAAAUAAAUUAAUACUUUCCAGCAUCCUCUCAACCAUCAUUUUCUUGAAUUUCCUCUCAGGACAAUUUUUCUUUUUAAAAUGCCUCUUGUUACAUUGGAAACAUCUUUGGUUUGUUUUGUGAGGGUCCUUCUUCUCAGUUUUAAAUUAUGUUUGGAUAUUUUCUUCUUGUACUUGAUUUUUCCAACAAACUUCACUGUUUCCUUCAUCUCUUUCUUAUGGGGUUUUUCAACUCAAAAAUAGGUUCUUAUUGAACCUCCUAAAGGGACAAGGUAUCCUUUCCAUAGACUAGUGUAUCACAUAAGUGCUUACAUGAAUUUGGCAAGGAACUUACCAAAAGUAAAGCUUGGUCUUCAUCUUUAAUACUCACAUCCAUAUUUUCAAGAUUGAUAAUGACCUUGAUAGAUCCAACUAUGUGCUCUUGGAAUGAUUCAUACUUCUUUCAAUGGGUAAACUCAUAAAUUUUGAGGACAAAAUUUUCUGGGGCGGGGGAGAAUGUAAUGGCCAUCUCACUACCUUAAAAAUUAUUAAUUUAGGAUCAAUUGUAGAAUGAUAAAGUGAUAGUGUUAACAAGUCCAAGUGGCAAAGAUAGACAAUGCCACCUUUAUUUCUCUCUCUCUUUCUCCUUCAAUCACGGGUACUAACCAAUCUUCUUCAUUCAUUUAUUUCAUUUUAAAUACACAUUUCCAUAAAACAACUCUGAAAAACCCCAACACUAGUAUUGUUCCUUGUCUCCCUCAUCCAUCAAUUUUCUUUUUCUUUCCAAAAUCCUUCAAACACAAAAGUUCUUUGAAGUCUUCUACAAUCUUCUACCUUCACUCCAACCCCUUGCAUCUAUAUUUCCUUCUCUUAAUCUCCAGAAAUCAACCAAAAAUAGUAUUAUAUGGAGAUAAAGAGAAAACAUGGAAAACCCCAAAUCUGACACAAAAUACCGGAGAAAUUGAGAGUUGGUAGAGUAGGCAUCUUCCAUAAAUCAACUCGAGUUAAAGGGGAUUUUCCUUUAGAAAAAUUGCCAUAAUUUGAGCUCUGGAUAUCGAAUUGGCGCAUACGAGCAGGCGUUGGAAAGUUAAAAAUCAGAGCUACAACUUUUAUGUUGGAAUAAAAGCCCAAUGUUGAACUUUAUUGGACCUAAAUUGCAGAUUUCGUAAUCUAGACUUUUGUAAUAAUUUUAAAUUACAGGUCACUAUUUUUAAAACCCUAAAGCCUAAUAUCGAGUACUAUAUAUUGGGAGUUUAGUUUCUUUUCUAUGACAUGAAAUUUUAGGAUUCAUAUUGAUACAAUGAAUAAACACUUUUUAUUUU